AAAAUUAUGAAAGUAGAAUAUGAAUUCUUGAAAAUUGAAGAGAAGAGAGUGAUUGAUAUUUGCUAAUUUGAGAAUUGAGAGAGAGAUAGAUAAUUUUAAGUGAGGAAAUGAGAAGAGGGGAGGGUAUUUAUAGAUUUUAAGAAGGGUUAAUAAUGUAAUUUUAAAAAAAACAAAAAAAAACUCAAAAUUGGCCAAAAAUGCAAAAAGUCCCGUUGGGCAACGNNN
rnacentral:lncRNA from 1 species